GCCUCCCCUGGUGGGCGCAGUGGUUGAGUGCUGGGCUGCGAAGCUGCCUGCAGCCUCUGCAGCGCUGGUUCAAUCCCCGGCUGCCAGCAAGGGUCCCACAAGUGUGUGAGAGGACAUGGCUGCCAGUGGACACCAAGCGGGACACCAAGCUGGACCUGGGCCCUGGGGGGGUCUGUGCUUCCUCCUUUGUGCUGGGAAUGUGUGUUCCACCAGUCUCACUGCAUGGAAAACUGCUUCAUGGCUUUGUGAAAGCACUAUGUUGUUGGCACCAUUGAGACAGACACAACUAAACCCUGCUGUGGGCUCUCCAAUCUUUAGGGUUCUGGUAGGCAGAUGUGAAAAUCUAUUCAUCUUCAGUGGCCCCAGACAAGACUCAUAGGUAACAUUGCUUUACAGCACUGUGUAUGAUUCAGAGGAUCACAGGAUCAGACCUCUUCAGAUGCACGUGCUCACACCACCCCCAGCACUACGGCCCUGAAAGCCUCCACCACAGCCGGCUGGGCCUCCUCCUGCCUCGCUUCCUGUCUCCUUCUUCCCCUGGGAGGCUCAGCUCUACAGUCAGAUUUCUAGGGCAUUUCCAUUGUUCCUAAGAUCUCUGAGAGGUCUGCAGGGAUGUCGGUGCAUGGCCUUUCUGGAAGACAGCGCACGUUCCCCUGGAGAGGUGACAUCCCAUGAUAAUGUGGUAGACAUUGUUUGUGGAGAAGAGGAACGUGGAACAGUUUUGAGAAAGUUGUAAGAACCGAGUGAUAACUCUUCACCUUCCAGAACGAGAUUGUCCUAGAUAGCAUCCUGGGGAGAGCAGGGUCAUGGGGAUGACGGACCCUGACAGCCUCAACAGAGAGUCUUGCCUUUGGGUGGCUCUGUGCCCCACCUGCCCUUCAUGCCACCAUAGCACUGAGACCCAACCGAAAGCACCGCCUCCCCUGGGAAGCAUUUGUGAUCGU